AUGUUUUAUUAGUGUGUGUGUGUGUGUGUGUGUGUUAAUCCCAAUGUCACUUCUUUAUGUUACAGAUCGUGUACCUCGUCCCACUGAUCUAACCCCAAAGGCCAACGACAACACUGGGGUAAUAGCAGGCUGUGUUGUAGGUGUACUUGCCAUUAUUUGUCUUGCAGUAGUUGCAGUCUACAACGUUAAACGAAGCUCUCGAGGCAGCUACUCAUCAAAUGUGGCCACUAAAAACUCUGAAGACAAUGAGUUGUAGCAUCCUCUGCCAUGAUAAG